GUGACCUCAAAUCAGGUAGGACUACCCGCUGAACUUAAGCAUAUCAAUAAGCGGAGGAAAAGAAACUAACAAGGAUUCCCCUAGUAACUGCGAGUGAGG
rnacentral:rRNA from 1 species